CUCCUGGGCCUGGGGGGGCACCCGAGGUCCCCCCGUGGUCAAUCACUGAGCUGGCCCCCCCUGCGCAUACUCCCCAGAAGACCUAGCAAUGGGCUGAAAGUAUUUCCAAUCCACUGCGCUCCUGUGGGAUGCUCCAUCUGCCCCAACAUCGCAGUGUUCAAGAGCCAUGCCUGGUACCUUGAGGAAUGAAAAAAAAAAAUUAGAAACUCACUUUACCCAGAUGAGGGAAUUGUAAAACUCUGGAUCAACAGAUUCCAAAUCCUUGAGUCCCACUGGCUUGUUGAGAAUACGCUUGUAGAAUGGCAGAGAGAAUCCUGUAUCAAUGAAUUUCCC